UGUCAAGGGAUGGGAAUCGAACCCACAACCUUCCACUUACCGGGCAGAUGCCAUGACCACUAGGCUACCCUGGAC
rnacentral:tRNA from 1 species